AUUGCCAGGCCUAUGAGGGAGCCAAUCAAGACCAGAACUGUCCAGCUAAGGCCAGUCUAAAGCCAACUCAGACUUGUGAGCAAAAUAAAUGCUCAUUAGUCAUUGAGUUUUGGGAUGGUUUCUUACAGAACAUUACAGUGGCAAUAGUUAACUGAAGAUAAAACUCCCUUCAGUGAUGGACACCACCACUUCCCCACUGAGAUGGUUCAAGUCUAACUCCUGUUGCCAUCUGAGGGAACAAGCACAUUGCAGAAUUAAGUAGCAGAGGUUUUCUAGACUUAACAUGUAAUUUAAUUAAAUCCAAAUGUAUUGAGCACCUAUUAGAGACACUACAGCGAAUUAAAAAGGAAUAUGGCCACUGCCUACCUAGAAGUUUAUGCUGUCUAGCAGAGGAGCCAAGACCACAGAAACAGGGUCUCGCCAUGUUGCCCAGGCUGGUCUCAAACUCCUGGACUCAAGCAAUCCUCCCACCUCAGCCUCCCAAAGUGGUGGGAUUACAGGCAUGAGUCACCACAGCCAGCCCAGUACCUGCUUUUAAGGAGUUCAUACCAACCAGAGUUCAAGCAAAAAAAAAAAAAAGCUCUUCUACAGGUCUACUUAAACUUUGAAAGAUGAGAUUGUUCAAAAAUGACACGAGAAAAUCACCCAUCACCACUAGGUUAAAGACUUGAAUAUGUGAGAGCUCCAGAGCCUCAAACUCCUACUACAGUCACUGAUCCAUAACAUUUUCCUCUUGCAAUAGACUCCACGCCAAAGUAGCACAGUCUUGC
rnacentral:antisense_RNA from 1 species